GGAUCAUUAUCGAAUUCUGAGGGGGGAGAGGAAACCUUGACUUCUCGAGGAACAACUGUCGCUGGCCCCUUGGGGCAUGUGCACGUCUUGCCUUGUCGUCGACCUUUCUCUCUCUCUCUCUCAUACCAUCCACACCUGUGCACCCGUCGUAGGUCUUCGAAAGAGGAACUAUGUCUUUCACGUCCCACAUCUAUCGUAUGUCUACAGAAUGUAAUAAAAUGGGCGAUGGCAUUAUACAACUUUCAGCAACGGAUCUCUUGGCUCUCGCAUCGAUGAAGAACGCAGCGAAUUGCGAUAAGUAAUGUGAAUUGCAGAUUUUCAGUGAAUCAUCGAAUCUUUGAACGCACCUUGCGCUCCUUGGUAUUCCGAGGAGCAUGCCUGUUUGAGUGUCAUCGAAUUCUCAACCAUGUCUUGAUUUGUUUCGAGACCAUGGCUUGGACUUGGGGGUUUGCUGGCGGCGAAAGGCCGUCGGCUCUCCUGAAAUGCAUUAGCAUAGGGUGGCGCAAGUCUAUUGACGUGCACGGCCUUCGACGUGAUAAUGAUCGUCGUGGCUGGAGCGUCAGAGAGACAUGCACGAAAAUCGUCCGUGCUUCUAAUCUGUGUCCGUGGCUAGCCUUUGGACCUCUUAGCUACUAGUCUGGUCGCAAGACUCGGCGAACGUCGAGGGGCUUUUCCGGGGGUUUGGUCCGUUUCGAAACUUGACCUCAAAUCAGGUAGGACUACCCGCUGAACUUAAGCAUAUCAAUAAGCGGAGGAAAAGAAACUAACGAGGAUUCCCUUAGUAACUGCGAGUGAACCGGGAAGAGCUCAAAUUUUGAAUCUGGCGGUCUUUCCGGCCGUCCGAGUUGUAAUCUAGAGAAGCGUCUUCCGCGCUGGACCGUGUAUAAGUCUCCUGGAAGGGAGCGUCAUAGAGGGUGACAAUCCCGUCUUUGACACGGACUACCAAGUGCUUAUGUGAUGCGCUCUCGACGAGUCGAGUUGUUUGGGAAUGCAGCUCAAAACGGGUGGUAAAUUCCAUCUAAAGCUAAAUACAGGCGAGAGACCGAUAGCGAACAAGUACCGUGAGGGAAAGAUGAAAAGAACUUUGGAAAGAGAGUUAAACAGUACGUGAAAUUGCUGAAAGGGAAACGCUUGAUGUCAGUCGCGUCCGCCGGGGAUCAACCUUGCCUUUCCGGCUCGGUGUACUUCCCGGUCGGACGGGUCAGCGUCAGUUUCGGUGCCGCCGUACAAGGGCGAGGGGAACGUGGCACUCUUCGGGGUGUGUUAUAGCCUUUCGUCGCAUGCGGCGGUCGGGACUGAGGAACUCAGCACGGCUUCGGUCUGUGC
rnacentral:rRNA from 1 species